GAUGAAGAACGCAGCGAAAUGCGAUAAGUAAUGUGAAUUGCAGAAUUCAGUGAAUCAUCGAAUCUUUGAACGCACAUUGCGCCCGCCAGCACUCUGGCGGGCAUGCCUGUCCGAGCGUCAUUUCAACCCUCGCGCCGUCCCUCCAGGGGGCUCGGCGCGGUGUUGGGGGACACGGCCCCGGCCGCCCCCGAAAUGCAGUGGCGACCCCGCCGCGGCCCCUCCAGCGCAGUAAGCACGCUCGCUACGGGAGGCCCGGUGGACGCGUCCGCCGUAAAACGCCCAACUCUUCAGAAGUUGACCUCGGAUCAGGUAGGGAUACCCGCUGAACUUAAGCAUACAAUAAGCGGAGGA
rnacentral:misc_RNA from 1 species